rnacentral:lncRNA from 1 species
UAAACUAUUGGAAUGCUUUUCUCUCUUUUUUUCCUUUCUUUUAUUUUCUUAUAUGUAGUGGAGUGAUGAUAGAGCAUUAUUGAUGUAGUAUAUAUAGAAAUUCAGUCUAUUUAGGAUGACGAUUAAGUUUGCUAGCCACUCAAAUGUUUUUUAGAUUUCAAAUGAGAUUUUUGUAUGGGAUUUAAUAUAUAAGAAUACACGUUCGGAUUUU